GACGAACGCUGGCGGCGUGCUUAACACAUGCAAGUCGAACGGUAAGGCCCUUCGGGGUACACGAGUGGCGAACGGGUGAGUAACGCGUGAGUAACCUGCCCUUCACUCUGGGAUAACAGUUGGAAACGGCUGCUAAUACCGUAUAUUCAGCUCCUGUCGCAAGGUGGGGGUUGGAAAGUUUUGGUGGUGGAGGAUGGGCUCGCGUCCUAUCAGCUUGUUGGUGGGGUGAUGGCCUACCAAGGCGUCGACGGGUAGCCGGCCUGAGAGGGCGACCGGCCACAUUGGUACUCAGGUGCGGCCCGAACUCCUACGGGAGGCAGCAGUGGGGAAUAUUGCACAAUGGGCGGAAGCCUGAUGCAGCAACGCCGCGUGCGGAAUGACGGCCUUCGGGUUGUAACCCGCUUUCAGCAGGGACGAAGCGCAAGUGACGGUACCUGCAGAAGAAGCACCGGCUAACUACGUG
rnacentral:rRNA from 1 species